UUUACGGAGAGUUUGAUCCUGGCUCAGGAUGAACGCUAGCGGUGUGCUUAAUGCAUGCAAGUCGAACGGGAUCCCAUGGAUUCGUCCAGGGUGAGAGUGGCGGACGGGUGAGUAACGCGUUGGUGACCUGCCCCAAAGAGAGGGAUAACAGACCGAAAGGUUUGCUAAUACCGCAUGUGCUGUUGGUAGAUUAGAAGACUGACAGGAAAGCCGAAAGGCGCUUUGGGAGGGGCCUGCG
rnacentral:rRNA from 1 species